GAGUUUGAUCCUGGCUCAGGAUGAACGCUGGCGGCGUGCCUAACACAUGCAAGUCGAACGAAGCACUGAGAGUUUGAGAUUUCGGUCAAGAACUUUCUUUGACUUAGUGGCGGACGGGUGAGUAAUGCGUGAGCAACCUGCCUUUCAGAGGGGGACAACAGUUGGAAACGACUGCUAAUACCGCAUGAUAUAUUCGGAUGGCAUCGUCUGAAUAUCAAAGAUUUAUCGCUGAAAGAUGGGCUCACGUCUGAUUAGUUAGUUGGUGAGGUAACGGCUCACCAAGACUGCGAUCAGUAGCCGGACUGAGAGGUCGAACGGCCACAUUGGGACUGAGAUACGGCCCAGACUCCUACGGGAGGCAGCAGUGGGGAAUAUUGGGCAAUGGGCGAAAGCCUGACCCAGCAACGCCGCGUGAAGGAAGAAGGUCUUCGGAUUGUAAACUUCUUUUAUCAGGGACGAAGUAAGUGACGGUACCUGAUGAAUAAGCCACGGCUAACUACGUGCCAGCCGCCGCGGUAAUAC
rnacentral:rRNA from 1 species